rnacentral:rRNA from 1 species
AUUGAACGCUGGCGGAAUGCUUUACACAUGCAAGUCGAACGGCAGCACGGGGGCAACCCUGGUGGCGAGUGGCGAACGGGUGAGUAAUACAUCGGAACGUGCCCGGUCGUGGGGGAUAACGUAGCGAAAGUUACGCUAAUACCGCAUACGAUCUGAGGAUGAAAGCGGGGGACCUUCGGGCCUCGCGCGAUCGGAGCGGCCGAUGUCAGAUUAGGUAGUUGGUGGGGUAAAGGCCUACCAAGCCGACGAUCUGUAGCUGGUCUGAGAGGACGACCAGCCACACUGGGACUGAGACACGGCCCAGACUCCUACGGGAGGCAGCAGUGGGGAAUUUUGGACAAUGGGCGCAAGCCUGAUCCAGCCAUUCCGCGUGCAGGACGAAGGCCUUCGGGUUGUAAACUGCUUUUGUAUGGAACGAAAAGGCUCUGGCUAAUACCUGGGGCUCAUGACGGUACCGUGAGAAUAAGCACCGGCUAACUACGUG